rnacentral:misc_RNA from 1 species
AUAAUUACUGAUAUGUGUUAUUAGAUUAUGGAUUACCCAUUAGAGAUCAUAGCAAUGAUGUAAGGAAAUGACAUGUCAAUGAUAUUAUGAAUGAAAUGAAUGAAAAGCUCCUUGCCCAGUGAUAUUAAGGGAAGUUCAUGUAAGGCAAUUAUGUAUCUCUGGCUCCAUUUGUUUGAUAUGUAAAGAGAAAGUCUUGAGAAGCUCUCAUAAUGGGCCAAGCAUAUUGAAAUGUGAUUAUGAAAAUGUAAA